AGGACGAACGCUGGCGGCGUGCUUCAUACAUGCAAGUCGAACGAGAAUCUGGUGCUUGCACCAGAGGAAAGUGGCGGACGGGUGAGUAAUGUGUAGAGAAUCUGCCCUUUAGCGGGGGACAACAGUUGGAAACGACUGCUAAUACCCCAUAUGAGCGUAGCUGAGAUGCUAUUCUUGAAAACUCCGGUGCUAAAGGAUGAGUCUGCAUCUGAUUAGCUAGUUGGCGGUGUAAUGGACCACCAAGGCGACGAUCAGUAGCUGGUUUGAGAGGAUGAUCAGCCACAAUGGGACUGAGACACGGCCCAUACUCCUACGGGAGGCAGCAGUAGGGAAUUUUGCGCAAUGGGCGAAAGCCUGACGCCAGCAACGCCGCGUGACCGAUGAAGCCCUUCGGGGUGUAAAGGUCUGUCAGUGGGGACGAAACUUGACGGUACCCACAGAGGAAGCAUCGGCUAACUCCGUGCCAGCCGCUGC
rnacentral:rRNA from 1 species